AAAGAUUUUAAUUCACUGUUAGACCCACAAAUAUUUCAUUUACCAAUAGUUUACGGACAAUUAUGGGCAUGCAACUUUAAAUCAAAUACAACAAGUAAAAUGAUUACUCACCAUUUGAGUUUUGACUGUAUCAAUACAAAAAAAUUAAAAUUAAGUUAGCAGAUAUUAGGCCUUUUUUUAAUGAGCGAAUGUAUCAAGAAAAAUAAAAACCAUACAUUUUAUAUGUAAGAAGCAUGCUUAAAAUACAAGUGUGUAGAAAAAUGUUACUUUUAAAUGCAACAAGGUAGUAAAUUAAGACAAAUUUUUUUAUAGAAAUAGCUAGAAAACAAUGGAAGCAUUUUGACAGUUAUUAAUUUUGUUAAUUAGCAUACAUGAUAUUUUAACUAAGCCAACAAAGCGCAUGUUUUAAAAACCUUGUAAAAAAAUUAUAAAAGGCAAUGAAUGUUUAUUGUAACAAAUACAUAUAUAUAGGU